AGUGACCCAGCCGGCGAGCAGCCCGAAGGCCGGUGCGACGAGCCAGCGCCCGGCCGUCGGGCUGCCCGAGCCAACUUCGCGCUGCGCCAGCAGGAACGCCGUAACGGCGCCGCCGGUGAUCCCCACGAACACUACCUGCGAGAGCACGAACUCGCGCGCGGGGAACAGGAACUCCCAGACCCCGUUCGAGAAGUAGGCCAAGGCGGAGAACCAGCCCACCCUCCUCAGAAGAGAGUCCUCCCGGUUAGAGGGCAGAGCCUGGUACACGGCGUAAAUCAAGGCCAGCAGGAAGAUAGGGGUCC
rnacentral:misc_RNA from 1 species